UGUAUAAUGGGUCAGCGACUUAUAUUCUGUAGCAAGGUUAACCGAAUAGGGGAGCCGGAGGGAAACCGAGUCUUAAUUGGGCGUUAAGUUGCAGGGUAUAGACCCGAAACCCGGUGAUCUAGCCAUGGGCAGGUUGAAGGUUGGGUAACACUAACUGGAGGACCGAACCGACUAAUGUUGAAAAAUUAGCGGAUGACCUGUGGCUGGGGGUGAAAGGCCAAUCAAACCGGGAGAUAGCUGGUUCUCCCCGAAAGCUAUUUAGGUAGCGCCUCGUGAAUUCAUCUCCGGGGGUAGAGCACUGUUUCGGCUAGGGGGCCAUCCCGGCUUACCAACCCGAUGCAAACUGCGAAUACCGGAGAAUGUUAUCACGGGAGACACACGGCGGGUGCUAACGUCCGUCGUGAAGAGGGAAACAACCCAGACCGCCAGCUAAGGUCCCAAAGUCAUGGUUAAGUGGGAAACGAUGUGGGAAGGCCCAGACAGCCAGGAUGUUGGCUUAGAAGCAGCCAUCAUUUAAAGAAAGCGUAAUAGCUCACUGGUCGAGUCGGCCUGCGCGGAAGAUGUAACGGGGCUAAACCAUGCACCGAAGCUGCGGCAGCGACGUUUAUGCGUUGUUGGGUAGGGGAGCGUUCUGUAAGCCUGCGAA
rnacentral:rRNA from 1 species